GAUGAACGCUGGCGGCGUGCCUAAUACAUGCAGGUCGAGCGAACAGAUGAGGAGCUUGCUCCUCUGACGUUAGCGGCGGACGGGUGAGUAACACGUGGAUAACCUACCUAUAAGACUUGGAUAACUUCGGGAAACCGGAGCUAAUACCGGAUAAUAUAUUGAACCGCAUGGUUCAAUAGUGAAAGACGGUUUUGCUGUCACUUAUAGAUGGAUCCGCGCCGCAUUAGCUAGUUGGUAAGGUAACGGCUUACCAAGGCAACGAUGCGUAGCCGACCUGAGAGGGUGAUCGGCCACACUGGAACUGAGACACGGUCCAGACUCCUACGGGAGGCAGCGGUAGGGAAUCUUCCGCAAUGGGCGAAAGCCUGACGGAGCAACGCCGCGUGAGUGAUGAAGGUCUUCGGAUCGUAAAACUCUGUUAUUAGGGAAGAACAAAUGUGUAAGUAACUAUGCACGUCGUGACGGUACCUAAUCAGAAAGCCACGGCUAACUACGUG
rnacentral:rRNA from 1 species